UCUGACCUCAAAUCAGGUAGGACUA
rnacentral:rRNA from 2 species